AUGCAGCUUGUUCAUGGCAAUAGCCAUGGCUUCGUGGGCUUCGCGGCUGAUGGAGCCGUAGGACAUGGCGCCGGUGACAAAGCGCUGUACGAUGUUCUCUACCGGUUCCACCCGGUCUAUGCUGAUAGGAGCGCGGCGGAAGUCGAGGAAAUCGCGCAGGAAGAUGGGAGAUUCCUUGCUGUCUACCAUGGCAGUGAACUCCUUGAAUUUCUUAUAGCUUCCCAGGCGUGUGGCAAGUUGCAGUGUGCUGAUGGUUUCCGGGUUCCAGGCGUGCUUCUCACCAUCCUUGCGGAAGGCAUACAGUCCGCGGUUCGGCAAUAGCUCCGCUUCCCCCUUCUUUUUAAGAACCUCCAUCCCUUCCUUCAGUUGAUACUGGAUAUCUUGAGUGCAGUUGAGGCAGGCGGAAUUCGUGGUGUAGCGGUGAAAUGCUUAGAUAUCACGAAGAACUCCGAUUGCGAAGGCAGCCUGCUAAGCUGCAACUGACAUUGAGGCUCGAAAGUGUGGGUAUCAAACAGGAUUAGAUACCCUGGUAGUCCACACGGUAAACGAUGAAUACUCGCUGUUUGCGAUAUACGGCAAGCGGCCAAGCGAAAGCGUUAAGUAUUCCACCUGGGGAGUACGCCGGCAACGGUGAAACUCAAAGGAAUUGACGGGGGCCCGCACAAGCGGAGGAACAUGUGGUUUAAUUCGAUGAUACGCGAGGAACCUUACCCGGGCUUAAAUUGCAAAGGAAUAAUCUGGAAACAGAUUAGUCUUCGGACCUUUGUGAAGGUGCUGCAUGGUUGUCGUCAGCUCGUGCCGUGAGGUGUCGGCUUAAGUGCCAUAACGAGCGCAACCCUCGCCGCCAGUUACUAACAGGUAAUGCUGAGGACUCUGGCGGGACUGCCAUCGUAAGAUGUGAGGAAGGUGGGGAUGACGUCAAAUCAGCACGGCCCUUACGUCCGGGGCUACACACGUGUUACAAUGGG
rnacentral:rRNA from 1 species